rnacentral:sRNA from 1 species
UAAUGUAACCGGACCGGUCCUUUGCCGUAAAACGCACCGGAUUGGAAAGGGAGAUAUCAUACACCCUGUGUUUACUUACCUUUGUUGCUUUGGCGGGCCGUCCUUUAGGCGUCGGCCCCGGCUGAUCGCGCCCGCCAGAGGACCCAAACUCUUUUAUCAGUGAUGUCUGAGUACUAUAUAAUAGUUAAAACUUUCAACAACGGAUCUCUUGGUUCUGGCAUCGAUGAAGAACGCAGCGAAAUGCGAUAAGUAAUGUGAAUUGCAGAAUUCAGUGAAUCAUCGGAUCUUUGAACGCACAUUGCGCCCGCUGGUAUUCCGGCGGGCAUGCCUGUUCGAGCGUCAUUAUGACCAAUCAAGCUCUGCUUGGCCUUGGGGCCCGCUGUACCGGCGGCCCUUAAAAUUAGUGGCGGUGCCGUCUGGGUCUAAGCGUAGUAAUACUUCUCGCUAUAGGGUCCAGUCGUUUACCCGCCAGAACCCCCAACUUUCUUAGGUUGACCUCGGAUCAGGUAGGGAUACCCGCUGAACUUAAGCAUAU